rnacentral:lncRNA from 1 species
CUAAUUUGUGAAUGGUAAUCUGAAAUGAAUUUUUAAUGAGGGAGACAACUGAAGGUGUAGAUGAGAAAACCGACGAUGACUGAGAACUAGUCCCUGUCGAAAUAGUACCACGUGUCUUUUGGAGGUGGUGUUCCAAAACCAACCAUGGCUACUUUGUAAUUGAUAAUCAAGCCCUAGAGCUCUGAUACCACGUGAAAAAAAUUGAUAGAGAAAGAAAAGUAGUAAAAAACCAUUUCUCU